CGGGCUAUGGCUGAGUGGUAAAGCGCUUUCUUUGGGAGAAAGCCUUCCUGUGUUCGAAUCACAGUAACCCGA
rnacentral:tRNA from 2 species